CUUGAUGAGAGAAGACCUGUACAGCAGUAAUCGCACCCCGAGUUUUUGCUGUAGUUUUCCCUACGUUCACUAGCUACUAUGACAGACAGGAAACUGGAUUUGACCAUGGGGGAGGGCCCCAACGGCUCGCAUGACCAGGAUCGCAUGUCCGCUGAGCAAAUUCAGCAACUGGUCCACAGGAUACUGAGAGGAUUGUCUGGCGGACCUGCGCGAUGUGGGUCAUCACCUUCAGUUUCUUCGGUUGAAUGAUCCGAUGUUCUUUUGGAGAUCGCGGUCAAGUUGGAACAAGUGAUGUGUAGUUGUGUCUUCACUGUUCGGAGACGACUUCGGUUCUCGGCUUCGUUUGAAUGAUGGUUACAGUCCGGGGUUUUUCGGCAUCAAGAAAGAGGAGGAGGCGGAGGCAACACUGUCUUUUAUGGAGCAAGCCCGGAUGGGAUUGGUGGAGAUGUUGGAAGGGGUGCGGUCAGGUUGCUAGGUGACCUGCAUCUUUUUUCUUCCAUUUUACAUUCAUGUUACAUUUGUUUUUUCUGCUAUUGGGCAUAUUAAAGAAAGAAUAUGC